AGGUCUAUAUACAGUAACGAGUCCCUUCCCUCCUGCUCUCGGGGGAAUGUCGCCCUCCACAGACACCAGCGCGAGGAAGGAGCCCCUCCAGUUGUAGGCCUCUGGAACAGAAGUCAAGGCUGCCUCCUCUCAUGGGGUCUGCCAGGAGGAAGGACAGAGGCCAUGGCGGGCACUCUUGGCAGGCAUGGAUGAAACAAGGUACUGUGUCAGUGGAAAAAUUGCCUACAAGAUGCCCAACGGGCUCUGCUGUGAGAAAAGCUGCCUUCCUCCAAAGUUUUGACACCUCUUGGCAAAAGUACGGAAGUGAAGAGCACAGUCACCCGGGAGCUGGAUGGAGCUGUGUAACACCAGCAAAGCAUGAGGCUCGGUGGUGACAACUGAAAACUCCAGCAUUAGAAACUGUCAUUGCCACUCUUUCUGCGCUGGUGUCAAAUCAGGAGGAAGCCCGUCUCUGAGAAGACGUUUGUCACCGUUGAAGGAGGCUGCAGAGUCUCAGCCUGCAACCCUGAAGGAGGCAGCAGACCGCAUGGCUGCGGCCCCACCCCACCCAGAGAAGCCAUCAGCUAACUAUGCACUUGCAGAAGGCAGGCAAGCACGGGAUGCUGGAUGCCAACUCUGUGACCAACCAGAACAAUUUGUUCCCAGCAGGAAGUUUUCAAGUAGCGGAGAGACCUGCGUGGUAUUAAGCCAUGGGAGGAGACAGCUGGAGCACAGCAGAUGUGCAUCUUAGAAAGUCUGCACCCAGCUGCCACUGCCUGUCCUCAACAAAUCCCAUUACAUGGCUGGGCUCAGGGACAACUCAGGAAAGUGUGGACACUUACCUAGCCUUUGGUUAAAAAGUACGUUUAGAGCCCGAAGCCUACACAACAGACUGACAGGGUUUGGGCUGGGAAAGAGAAAUGAGGCCCUUGCUCACCAACAGCAGAAGCCUGUUCCUGGGGUCUCAAAGGUCUUGAGCCAGUUGCCCAGGCCAGGCACAGAGGGACAGGACGAGCGAGCGAGCGAGCGAGCGAGAGAGAGAGAGAGAGAGAGAGAGAGAGAGAGAGAGAGAGUGUAUGUGUGUGUGUGUGCAUGCGCGCUCUGACUUUGCCACUCAGCUUAUCCAGAAAGCAAAAUGACUCUCUCAAUAUGACAAUGAUGCCCAGCCUCGGCCUGGCCCGCUCUAGCUGACCACAGGAGAGCAUAUGGUGCUGGCUGAUGAGGAGGGACCACCAGCCCAGCUGCAGGCAAGCCUGCUCAAAACGCUGAUAAGGGGAGAAGGAAGAAGAGUUCAGAACCCACCAUUUUUUUUUUAAAGAUUUAUUUAUUUAUUAUAUGUAAGUACACUGUAGCUGUCUUCAGACACUCCAGAAGNNNNNNNNNNNNNNNNNNNNNNNNNNNNNNNUCAGAUCUCGUUACGGAUGGUUGUGAGCCACCAUGUGGUUGCUGGGAUUUGAACUCGGGACCUUUGGAAGAGCAGUCGGGUGCUCUUACCCACUGAGCCAUCUCUCCAGCCCAGAACCCACCAUUUUUAAAUACACCCUUUACUAUCUGGCCUUGAACUCCCUUUUCAAUCACCUUUGGGAAAAAGCUAACACUUCUAGACAAGUAAAAUGAAGACAAUUUUAGAAAAGAUAUUUUGAAAGACAAUAGGGCCUGUGCUGAGUUAUGUAAAAAGAAACCAACGUAAGCUAUUUUCCAUAAGCUUUGGAGAUAAUUCUAACUUUUUAGACUCUCCAGGUGACUUGAAGAAGAGGUGAUGGUCUUGUCUGGAUGGCUGCAUCGCACUGUGUCUGUUACCGCAGCAACCUCCAUUUAAAACAACAAACUCCCCUGCAUCAGGAUUCCAUGUGAUCAUUAAGGCACCUUUGUAUUUAAUCUGAAAUUCCCUUAGAAUCUGUCACUCCAUGAAUAUACACGGUGGAGUCAGAGCAAGGGAGCCACGGUUGACCUGAAUCUGAGUAGUCAGGUUACCUCCAUGGGCAAAGGAGAGUCCACUCACACCCCAUGCGUGGGCUCAGAAACGGACACUCAGUACCACGGGGAUAAGAUGGAAGGGGCAUAGCGGAUCACCUGUGUGACCACAGUGUCUGAAGCAACACAAACGGCCGGCUCCUGCUCCCCUGCAACCUUUAGCACACACUUAAAACCGUGUCUAGAUGAGUUUGAGUGCGCCACGUUUUUAUACCUAGAAAACCUUAUGAGCUUUUUGCAUCAAAUGGAAAACCCAAGUUCUCCCAGUUUGCUGAGGUGGGAGCUUUGGAGCACUGCUCUUAGCCAGUGUCUUGACUCCCAGCUGGGGUAAGCAGGACUUGGAACAGGUGACUUACUGUAUGGCUGCGGAGUGAGGUGAGGGGGCUGGACAGGAACCACUGGGGUAGCUGGGCCCAGGGGUGAAGGCUCGUCGGCAGCUGUGCCCGACUGCUGGAAAGCCAGGUCAAUCUCUUCGUCUGUCAGUCCUAGAGAGAAGAGCAAAGGACACUCAUGAGUAUCUCUUGCCAGCGACCCACCCUCAGCAAAAUCUUCCUCUGCAAGCAGGCCCUGACGGCCACAGAGCGCGCCUUGCAUUUGAGUGUGCUGCCUCCUCGAUUUCGGAUUCUUGGGAACCUCUCUCUGUCGCAAUUUAACCUUAAGCGACAGAAUAUUAGCCUCAACACUGCUUCCAAAUGUGGCUCAUUCAAUUUCCUUAAUUUAUCCUUGAGUUUAUUGCUGCUUUUGAAGUCGCUCCGUACUGCAAUUCUCCAUUCUUCCCCCGAAAACAGAUACCAUCAACUGCAAAUGUGGCUCAUUUUAAUCUGUAAUGGUGUUAAAAAAAGAGGGGAAAAAACUAACAAUAAUGCACGAAAACAGACAGGGAAACAAAAAACUAAUUAUUGGGUGAGACGACUAAUUAGUCUAGAUCGUUUCCGAAGACGGGAAUAAUUUGCUUUAUUUUAUGACAAAUGCAGAAAUAAAAAGAAAAAUC
ensembl:antisense Gm17029 predicted gene 17029